rnacentral:rRNA from 1 species
AGAUUGAACGCUGGCGGCAGGCCUAACACAUGCAAGUCGAGCGGUAGAGAGGUGCUUGCACCUCUUGAGAGCGGCGGACGGGUGAGUAAUGCCUAGGAAUCUGCCUAGUGGUGGGGGAUAACGUUCGGAAACGGACGCUAAUACCGCAUACGUCCUACGGGAGAAAGCGGGGGACCUUCGGGCCUCGCGCCAUUAGAUGAGCCUAGGUCGGAUUAGCUUAGUUGGUGAGGUAAUGGCUCACCAAGGCGA